UACGUAGGGCGCAAGCGUUGUCCGGAAUUAUUGGGCGUAAAGAGCUCGUAGGUGGCUUGUCACGUCGGGUGUGAAAGCUUGGGGCUUAACUCCAGGUCUGCAUUCGAUACGGGCUGGCUAGAGGUAGGUAGGGGAGAACGGAAUUCCUGGUGUAGCGGUGAAAUGCGCAGAUAUCGGGAGGAACACCAGUGGCGAAGGCGGCACUCUGGGCCGGAACUGACGCUGAGGAGCGAAAGCGUGGGGAGCGAACAGG
rnacentral:rRNA from 1 species